rnacentral:rRNA from 1 species
GACGAACGCUGGCGGCGUGCUUAACACAUGCAAGUCGAACGGAUAGGCCCUGCUUUUGUGCGGUGCUCGAGUGGCGAACGGGUGAGUAACACGUGAGUAACCUGCCCUUGACUUUGGGAUAACUUCAGGAAACUGGGGCUAAUACCGGAUAGGAGCUCCUGCUGCAUGGUGGGGGUUGGAAAGUUUCGGCGGUUGGGGAUGGACUCGCGGCUUAUCAGCUUGUUGGUGGGGUAGUGGCUUACCAAGGCUUUGACGGGUAGCCGGCCUGAGAGGGUGACCGGCCACAUUGGGACUGAGAUACGGCCCAGACUCCUACGGGAGGCAGCAGUGGGGAAUAUUGCACAAUGGGCGGAAGCCUGAUGCAGCAACGCCGCGUGCGGGAUGACGGCCUUCGGGUUGUAAACCGCUUUCGCCUGUGACGAAGCGUGAGUGACGGUAAUGGGUAAAGAAGCACCGGCUAACUACGUG